AGUGAACGCUGGCGGUAGGCCUAACACAUGCAAGUCGAACGGCAGCACAAUAAGAGCUUGCUCUUACGGGUGGCGAGUGGCGGACGGGUGAGGAAUACAUCGGAAUCUACUUUGUCGUGGGGGAUAUCGUGGGGAAACAUACGCUAAUACAGCAUACGACCUACGGGUGAAAGCAGGAGAUCUUGGGACCUUGCGCGAUUGAAUGAGCCGAUGUCGGAUUAGAUAGUUGGGGGGGUAAAGGCACACCAAGGCAACGAUCCGUAGCGGAUCUGAGAGGAUGAUCAGCCACACUGGAACUGAGACACGGUCCAGACUCCUACGGGAGGCAGCAGUGGGGAAUAUUGCACAAUGGGCGCAAGCCUGAUCCAGCAACACCGCGUGGGUGAAGAAGGUCUUCGGGUUGUAAAGCCCUUUUGUUGGGAAAGAACAACAGCAGGUGAAUACCCCGCUGUUCUGACGGUACCCAAAGAGUAAGCACCGGCUAACUUCGUG
rnacentral:rRNA from 1 species